rnacentral:rRNA from 1 species
UAAGGAAUAUUGGUCAAUGGGCGCAAGCCUGAACCAGCCAUGCCGCGUGCAGGAUGACUGCCCUAUGGGUUGUAAACUGCUUUUGUACGGGAAUAACCCUUUCUAUGUAUAGGAAGCUGAAUGUACCGUAAGAAUAAGGAUCGGCUAACUCCGUGCCAGCAGCCGCGGUAAUACGGAGGAUCCAAGCGUUAUCCGGAUUUAUUGGGUUUAAAGGGUGCGUAGGUGGCUUAAUAAGUCAGGGGUGAAAGACAUCGGCUCAACCGAUGCAGUGCCUUUGAUACUGUUGAGCUUGAAUUAUGUUGAAGAUGGCGGAAUGAGACAAGUAGCGGUGAAAUGCAUAGAUAUGUCUCAGAACACCGAUUGCGAAGGCAGCUGUCUAAACAUGGAUUGACACUGAUGC